AUGGCCAUCUUCGACGAGUUCUAUGUUGGGUCCAUCGACCUCGGACGCCUCAACUAUGGGAUCAUCUCGCUCAUCCCCAAUGUCCCUGGGGCUUCCGACAUUCGCCAGUUCCGCCAGAUCACGGUCAUCAACGUGAUUUUUCGAAUUCUGGCGAAAGGGUUCGCCAAUAGGGUGACCCUGCUACCGGACCGCAUUACUCACCCCAACCAGUCCGCCUUUAUCCAAGGCCGGUAUAUCCUAGAUGGGGUGCUAGUUCUUCACGAAGUCCUCCAUGAGGUUCGCUCUAAGCACCUCAAGGCGGUGUUUCUGAAGAUCGAUUUUCAUAAAGCCUACAACACGGUCAGUUGGCCCUUCCUUCGGGAAGUUCUGCUCCGGAAAGGUUUUGACAACCGUGGGUCUCUAGAGUGA
rnacentral:rRNA from 1 species